UACGUAGGGGGCUAGCGUUGUCCGGAAUCAUUGGGCGUAAAGCGCGUGUAGGCGGUCCGGUAAGUCCGCUGUGAAAGUCGGGGGGCUCAACCCUCGGAUGCCGGUGGAUACUGUCGGGCUUGAGUACGGAAGAGGCGAGUGGAAUUCCUGGUGUAGCGGUGAAAUGCGCAGAUAUCAGGAGGAACACCAAUUGCGAAGGCAGCUCGCUGGGACGUUACUGACGCUGAGACGCGA
rnacentral:rRNA from 1 species